rnacentral:tRNA from 1 species
GCCUGGGUGGCUCAGUUGGUUAAGUGUCUGACUUCGGUUCAGGUCAUGACCUCACAGUUUGUGGGUUUGAGCCCCAUGUCAGGCU